rnacentral:rRNA from 1 species
AGUGAACGCUGGCGGUAGGCCUAACACAUGCAAGUCGAACGGCAGCACAGUAAGAGCUUGCUCUUACGGGUGGCGAGUGGCGGACGGGUGAGGAAUACAUCGGAAUCUACUUUUUCGUGGGGGAUAACGUAGGGAAACUUACGCUAAUACCGCAUACGACCUACGGGUGAAAGCAGGGGAUCUUCGGACCUUGCGCGAUUGAAUGAGCCGAUGUCGGAUUAGCUAGUUGGCGGGGUAAAGGCCCACCAAGGCGACGAUCCGUAGCUGGUCUGAGAGGAUGAUCAGCCACACUGGAGCUGAGACACGGUCCAGACUCCUACGGGAGGCAGCAGUGGGGAAUAUUGGACAAUGGGCGCAAGCCUGAUCCAGCCAUACCGCGUGGGUGAAGAAGGCCUUCGGGUUGUAAAGCCCUUUUGUUGGGAAAGAAAAGCAGCAGGUUAAUACCCCGCUGUUCUGACGGUACCCAAAGAAUAAGCACCGGCUAACUCCGUG